rnacentral:rRNA from 1 species
GACGAACGCUGGCGGCGUGCUUAACACAUGCAAGUCGAACGAGUGGCGAACGGGUGAGUAAUACGUGGGUAACCUGCCCUCUUUUUGGGAUAAGCCUUGGAAACGGGGUCUAAUACCGAAUAAAGGGGGAUGGGCUCGCGGCCUAUCAGCUUGUUGGUGGGGUGAUGGCCUACCAAGGCGGUGACGGGUAGCCGGCCUGAGAGGGUGAGCGUCCAUAUUGGGACUGGGAUACGGCCCAGACUCCUACGGGGGGCAGCAGUGGGGGUUAUUGCGCAAUGGGCGAAAGCCUGAGUCAGCGACGCCGCGUUGUGGAUGAAGGCUUUCGGGUUGUAAAGCUCUGUUAAUCGGGACGCGGUACCGGAAUAGAAAGCCACGGCUAACUACGUGCCAGCAGCCGCGGUAAUAC